CAAGCCCGUACAAGUCUAUGGAGCUGCAGCAUUAAGCAUCGUCACCUGCUACAGUAUCCCAGGGGCUGUUCAUAGAAGCUGUCAACUGUCACUCGUUUCCAAGACCAUUUUUCCAACCUUGCCUUUGUUAUCAACAACAACAACAAAAAUGAAAUUCUACUUCUGCUGUUACAUAAAGAAUGGAAAGAAAACUAAACACCUGGGAAGAGAUCAGAGACCAAAUGGCAAAAUAGAUAAGGAAUAUUCUUGAUUUAUUUUAAAAAACAAUUGCCAAACAAAUAACAAGUUAUUUGUUAUAAAAUGUUUUAUAUAGAGAUAUUCAAUACAUUUUGAUAAACUAUUAUCUUUAUUAAUUUAUGUGUGUGCAUAUAUCUAAUAAAAGAAGAAAAAGAAUUGCAACUGGGUUUAUGCAGUAAACAGCAACAAAAACAAAUGCACAACAAUGAAAUACUAAAAAACUGAGUUAAUUCAGAGCAAGAAUAAACUAACUGUGAAAAAGUUAAUUAGAGAAAUCUUGAAGAGGUAAUUAGGAUGGAGCAAUAAAAGUAUAAAGAUUGUACUGAUUAUAGGAUUUAAUAUGGGAAACCAGAGUAGAGGUGAACUAAGGGUAUGAAAACGGUUAAAGAAUUAAUGUGUUUGCUAUAGGAUUUAAUGAUUACAAUGGUUAGAGAAAGAAAAAGAGAGAGAGAGAGAGAGAGAGAGAGAGUAAACUUCUAAUAUGUACUAGUUUUGGUAGCUUAAGAGUGGUAUGCUUACACAGAAUUUGAAGUUAUGAAGAUGUUGUACUUAUUGUUAAAUGACCAUGGACAAAGUUGCUGAUAUAAUCUGUUGAUAAGAUAGGGGCAUUUGGCCCAAGGUCUCAAACACACAGUGUAUAUAGACCUUUGAUUUCACCAGGGA
rnacentral:lncRNA from 1 species